rnacentral:misc_RNA from 1 species
CCACAUUCUGCUCGCCACUACAGC